GUUUGUCUGCAUUUUUGACUACACAAAGUGCUGGCAACAUUUGUGUGUUGAAGUUGCCUUUUUUCAGCUAAAAAGGCUUCCAAACCAAUAGAUUUGUAGUAAAAAAAAGAACAAGCCAUUAAACUACAAUAUACAGAAUGCCUGAGGUUUUGCUCAAAGUUAAGAAGCGAAGCUUUUAGGGUUGGACUUCAGUGCUACUGAAGUAAGAAAUUUUUCCACUAAGUCGAAACAAGUAAAACAAGAGCCGUUUCAAGUGAAACAAUUUAAAACACGAAGGAGGGGGUACAUAUCUGGAUGCAUAACAUGAAGAAGAAGAGAUGGACUAGAGGACUGAAGGAUGAAAUGAAUGUGAAAAUGUAGUCAUGGACUACAUUUAUUUGCAUCCACACGAAACAAGCUGCAAGACCAUUAACAAGUCAACUGUGAGUUUUCCUUCAGAGAACAGCCUUAACAAGUCCCUAAAACGAUUGAUUCUAAAUUGACUUUCAAUUAUUUUUUUCAGCAGGGUAUGCAAUUACCGGAAAGUUCCGCGCUUUCUUUUUUUCAAAUCAUGCUAGCUAAGGCUGUUAUGAUAAACUCUGAUUUUAUUUCUACUGUAGAUAGUGUUAGGCAGAGGGAUGUAUGCAUUCUUACUCGAAUGGAAUGCUGAUAAAA